AUUGAACGCUGGCGGCAGGCCUAACACAUGCAAGUCGAACGGUAACAGGAAGUAGCUUGCUUCUUUGCUGACGAGUGGCGGACGGGUGAGUAAUGUCUGGGAAACUGCCUGAUGGAGGGGGAUAACUACUGGAAACGGUAGCUAAUACCGCAUAACGUCGCAAGACCAAAAAGGGGGACCUUCGGGCCUCUUGCCAUCGGAUGUGCCCAGAUGGGAUUAGCUAGUAGGUGGGGUAACGGCUCACCUAGGCGACGAUCCCUAGCUGGUCUGAGAGGAUGACCAGCCACACUGGAACUGAGACACGGUCCAGACUCCUACGGGAGGCAGCAGUGGGGAAUAUUGCACAAUGGGCGCAAGCCUGAUGCAGCCAUGCCGCGUGUAUGAAGAAGGCCUUCGGGUUGUAAAGUACUUUCAGCGGGGAGGAAGGGAGUAAAGUUAAUACCUUUGCUCAUUGACGUUACCCGCAGAAGAAGCACCGGCUAACUCCGUG
rnacentral:rRNA from 1 species